rnacentral:rRNA from 1 species
UACGUAGGGGGCUAGCGUUGUCCGGAAUCAUUGGGCGUAAAGCGCACGUAGGCGGCCCUGUAAGUCCGUUGUGAAAGUCAAAGGCUCAACCUUUGAAUGCCGAUGGAUACUGCAGGGCUAGAGUCCGGAAGAGGCGAGUGGAAUUCCUGGUGUAGCGGUGGAAUGCGCAGAUAUCAGGAGGAACACCGGUGGUGUAGACGGCUUUCUGGACCGUAACUGACGCUGAGACACGAAAGCGUGGGUAGCAAACAGG